GACGAACGCUGGCGGCAUGCCUAACACAUGCAAGUCGAACGAAGCCUUCGGGCUUAGUGGCGCACGGGUGCGUAACGCGUGGGAACCUGCCUUUAGGUUCGGAAUAACUCCCCGAAAGGGGUGCUAAUACCGAAUAAUGUCUUCGGACCAAAGAUUUAAUCGCCCAAGGAUGAGCCCGCGUAGGAUUAGGUAGUUGGUGG
rnacentral:rRNA from 1 species